CUGAGAUCUCCUGAGGAGGGAGGUGCCUGAAGAGUCAGAGACCAAGAGGAGAAGAGGAAGGUUUCAAGCCUUACAGAGAGAAUGACGUGGGUCGGCAGGCAGCUGGACAGAAGCCUCAGUCCAACAAUUACCAGAGGAGGCACAGAGUGAUCAUUAAGCUCCCAGCUUCAAGUCCCAACUCCACCAUUGGGACAGUUCCUUCAUCGGUCCCUGCCUCAGUUCCCCCAUCUGCUUAUUGGGGGUCCUCAUGGCUUCGACUCCGAGGAUUGUCAUGAGAACGGAAGGUGUUAAAGCAUGAGAACUGCUUGGAAUAGUGGCCGGCGCUAGGUCUUCCGAGAGCUGAAAGGGGGAAAGUGAUGGAUUCAGAGGAAGAGGCGUAUGCAUUUCCAUGCUCACCAUCACCAAAGCGCACAGAGAAGCUUGUGGUCCCUUCUCAAACCAUGUAAUUCUGAUGUGUACUGUGGUUCUGAUGUACACUACUGUUUUGUUUUUUUUUUUUUUAGGGCCAAACCUGCAGCAUAUGGAAAUUCCCAGGCUAGGGGUCGAAUCGGAGCUACAGCUGCCGGCCUACACCACAGCCACAGCAGUGCUGGAUCCAAGCCGUGUGUGCCACCUAUACCGCAGCUUGUGGCAAUGAUGGAGUCUUAACCCACUGAGUGAGGCCAGGGGUUGAACCUGCAUCCUCAUGGAUACUAGUUCAGAGCCACAAAGGGAACUUCCUUCUGCUGUCUACAUUUUAAUAUCUCUGAGGUUAUGAUAUAUCCAGUAACCCGUAGCAUGCCAGAGUUUAACUGGUGCAUGGUAUAAGCUGAAGUACAUCCCACACAAGUAUGAAGUUGGAGCCCUAACCCUCAGUACCUCUGAAUGUGUCUGUAUUUACCUUGCCAAGGGGGAGGGGCAAGGG